UACGGAGGAUGCAAGCGUUAUCCGGAAUUAUUGGGCGUAAAGCGUCCGCAGGUGGUACAUCAAGUCUGCUGUCAAAGACCGGAGCUCAACUCCGGGCAGGCAGGGGAAACUGGUGAACUAGAGUACGGUAGGGGUAGAGGGAAUUCCCAGUGUAGCGGUGAAAUCCGUAGAGAUUGGGAAGAACACCAGUGGCGAAGGCGCUCUACUGGGCCGUAACUGACACUCAGGGGCGAAAGCUAGGGGAGCGAAAGGG
rnacentral:rRNA from 1 species